rnacentral:rRNA from 1 species
UGCAGUCGAACGGACUUAACCUUUAGUUUACUAUUGGAGCGGUUAGUGGCGGACUGGUGAGUAACACGUAAGCAACCUGCCUAUCAGAGGGGAACAACAGUUAGAAAUGACUGCUAAUACCGCAUAUGCCUUAGAAUCACAUGGUUCAAAAGGGAAAGGAGCAAUCCGCUGAUAGAUGGGCUUGCGUCUGAUUAGAUAGUUGGUGAGGUAACGGCCCACCAAGUCGACGAUCAGUAGCCGGACUGAGAGGUUGAACGGCCACAUUGGGACUGAGAUACGGCCCAGACUCCUACGGGAGGCAGCAGUCGGGAAUAUUGCGCAAUGGAGGAAACUCUGACGCAGUGACGCCGCGUGCAGGAAGAAGAUUUUCGGAUUGUAAACUGCUUUAGACAGGGAAGAAACAAGACAGUACCUGUAGAAUAAGCUCCGGCUAACUACGUGCCAGCAGCCGCGGUAAUACGUAGGGAGCAAGCGUUAUCCGGAUUUAUUGGGUGUAAAGGGUGCGUAGACGGGAAAACAAGUUAGUUGUGAAAUCCCUCGGCUUAACUGAGGAACUGCAACUAAAACUAUUUUUCUUGAGUGCUGGAGAGGAAAGUGGAAUUCCUAGUGUAGCGGUGAAAUGCGUAGAUAUUAGGAGGAACACCAGUGGCGAAGGCGACUUUCUGGACAGUAACUGACGUUGAGGCACGAAAGUGUGGGGAGCAAACAGGAUUAGAUACCCUGGUAGUCCACACCGUAAACGAUGGAUACUAGGUGUAGGGGAUGGAUAAUCUUCUGUGCCGUCGCAAACGCAGUAAGUAUCCCACCUGGGGAGUACGGCCGCAAGGUUGAACU